CCUACGGGAGGCAGCAGUAAGGAAUAUUGGGCAAUGGACGCAAGUCUGAACCAGCCAUGCCGCGUGAAGGAUUAAGGUCCUCUGGAUUGUAAACUUCUUUUAUCUGGGACGAAAAAAGGUCUUUCUAGACCCCUUGACGGUACCAGAUGAAUAAGCACCGGCUAACUCCGUGCCAGCAGCCGCGGUAAUACGGAGGGUGCAAGCGUUAUCCGGAUUCACUGGGUUUAAAGGGUGCGUAGGCGGGUAGGUAAGUCAGUGGUGAAAUCCUGGAGCUCAACUCCAGAACUGCCAUUGAUACUAUCUAUCUUGAAUAUUGUGGAGGUAAGCGGAAUAUGUCAUGUAGCGGUGAAAUGCUUAGAUAUGACAUAGAACACCCAUUGCGAAGGCAGCUUACUACGCAUAUAUUGACGCUGAGGCACGAAAGCGUGGGGAUCAAACAGGAUUAGAUACCCUGGUAGUCCACGCCCUAAACGAUGGAUACUCGACAUACGCGAUACACUGUGUGUGUCUAAGCUAACGCAUUAAGUAAUCCACCUGGGAAGUACGAUCGCAAGAUUGAAGCUCAAAGGAAUUGACGG
rnacentral:rRNA from 1 species